rnacentral:rRNA from 1 species
CACGUAGGGGGCAAGCGUUGUCCGGAAUCAUUGGGCGUAAAGAGCUCGUAGGCGGCUCGGUAAGUCGGGUGUGAAACCCCCAGGCUCAACCUGGGGACGCCACCCGAUACUGCUGUGGCUAGAGUCCAGUAGGGGAGUGUGGAAUUCCCGGUGUAGCGGUGAAAUGCGCAGAUAUCGGGAGGAACACCAGCGGCGAAGGCGGCACUCUGGGCUGGAACUGACGCUGAGGAGCGAAAGCGUGGGGAGCAAACAGG